rnacentral:tRNA from 1 species
GCCCAGCACGGUGCAGUGGUUUGAGUGUUGGACUAUGACUCUGGAGACCAGGGUUCGAAUCCCUGCUUAGGCA